rnacentral:rRNA from 1 species
UACAGGGGGGGCAAGGCGUUGUUCGGAAUUACUGGGCGUAAAGGGCUCGGUAGGUGGCCGACUAAGUCAGACGUGAAAUCCCUCAGCUUAACUGGGGAACUGCGUCUGAUACUGGAUGGCUUGAGUUUGGGAGAGGGAUGCGGAAUUCCAGGUGUAGCGGUGAAAUGCGUAGAUAUCUGGAGGAACACCGGUGGCGAAGGCGGCAUCCUGGACCAACACUGACACUGAGGAGCGAAAGCCAGGGGAGCAAACGGG